AUUGAACGCUGGCGGCAUGCCUUACACAUGCAAGUCGAACGGCAGCACGGACUUCGGUCUGGUGGCGAGUGGCGAACGGGUGAGUAAUGUCUGGGAAACUGCCUGAUGGAGGGGGAUAACUACUGGAAACGGUAGCUAAUACCGCAUAACGUCGCAAGACCAAAGUGGGGGACCUUCGGGCCUCAUGCCAUCAGAUGUGCCCAGAUGGGAUUAGCUAGUAGGUGGGGUAACGGCUCACCUAGGCGACGAUCCCUAGCUGGUCUGAGAGGAUGACCAGCCACACUGGAACUGAGACACGGUCCAGACUCCUACGGGAGGCAGCAGUGGGGAAUAUUGCACAAUGGGCGCAAGCCUGAUGCAGCCAUGCCGCGUGUGUGAAGAAGGCCUUCGGGUUGUAAGC
rnacentral:rRNA from 1 species